GACGAACGCUGGCGGCGUGCUUAACACAUGCAAGUCGAACGGAAAGGCCCUGCUUUUGUGGGGUGCUCGAGUGGCGAACGGGUGAGUAACACGUGAGUAACCUGCCCUUGACUUUGGGAUAACCUCAGGAAACUGGGGCUAAUACCGGAUAGGAGCUCCUGCUGCAUGGUGGGGGUUGGAAAGUUUCGGCGGUUGGGGAUGGACUCGCGGCUUAUCAGCUUGUUGGUGGGGUAGUGGCUUACCAAGGCUUUGACGGGUAGCCGGCCUGAGAGGGUGACCGGCCACAUUGGGACUGAGAUACGGCCCAGACUCCUACGGGAGGCAGCAGUGGGGAAUAUUGCACAAUGGGCGGAAGCCUGAUGCAGCAACGCCGCGUGCGGGAUGACGGCCUUCGGGUUGUAAACCGCUUUCGCCUGUGACGAAGCGUGAGUGACGGUAAUGGGUAAAGAAGCACCGGCUAACUACGUGCCAGCAGCCGCGGUGAUACGUAGGGUGCGAGCGUUGUCCGGAUUUAUUGGGCGUAAAGGGCUCGUAGGUGGUUGAUCGCGUCGGAAGUGUAAUCUUGGGGCUUAACCCUGAGCGUGCUUUCGAUACGGGUUGACUUGAGGAAGGUAGGGGAGAAUGGAAUUCCUGGUGGAGCGGUGGAAUGCGCAGAUAUCAGGAGGAACACCAGUGGCGAAGGCGGUUCUCUGGGCCUUUCCUGACGCUGAGGAGCGAAAGCGUGGGGAGCGAACAGGCUUAGAUACCCUGGUAGUCCACGCUGUAAACGGUGGGUACUAGGUGUGGGGUCCAUUCCACGGGUUCCGUGCCGUAGCUAACGCUUUAAGUACCCCGCCUGGGGAGUACGGCCGCAAGGCUAAAACUCAAAGGAAUUGACGGGGUCCCGCACAAGCGGCGGAGCAUGCGGACUAAUUCGAUGCAACGCGUAGAACCUUACCUGGGUUUGACAUGGAUCGGGAGUGCUCAGAGAUGGGUGUGCCUCUUUUGGGGUCGGUUCACAGGUGGUGCGUGGCUGUCGUCAGCUCGUGUCGUGAGAUGUUGGGUUAAGCCCCGCAACGAACGCAACCCUUGUUCACUGUUGCCAGCACGUUAUGGUGGGGACUCAGUGGAGACCGCCGGGGUCAACUCGGAGGAAGGUGGGGAUGACGUCAAGUCAUCAUGCCCCUUAUGUCCAGGGCUUCACGCAUGCUACAAUGGCUGGUACAGAGAGUGGCGAGCCUGUGAGGGUGAGCGAAUCUCGGAAAGCCGGUCUCAGUUCGGAUUGGGGUCUGCAACUCGACCUCAUGAAGUCGGAGUCGCUAGUAAUCGCAGAUCAGCAACGCUGCGGUGAAUACGUUCCCGGGGCU
rnacentral:rRNA from 1 species